UAAGAGGGAGUAUGGAGAUGCCAACUUGUAUCUUGCCUUCACAAGAUACAGUGGUAUUAUUCCCCCAAUCUCCUAUAGCAAGCUGGAGUUAUUUGGUUACAGGCCAGAUCUUCUGCCAGUAAACAGUCCUGAGCACUCCCUUCUGAAGGCAAACAGCUCCAGAGAAGCGCUUUCAAAUGUAAAAUUAUCCACACAGUGAUGCUGACUGCCACACGGCAAACCCGCUUCUCAUCUCCUAGAGGUGGAGGACACGCUAAUAACUUUCCUCCAGAUUGGAAGGAUGAGUUUCUGUUACUUUCAAAUUCUCCCACAUGCGCAGGACUUCGUACAACACGAAUGGAAGAAGGAGACUGUUACAGCCCAAAUGGGUUAUGAGAAUCUAUGUACGUGUUCACAUGAGAGUCCUUGGACUUCCAGUUUGCCUUGACUUCCGGUUUGCCUUGCCAUCUAGUUAACACGCAGAAAUAGCACUGAAUUACAAGGCUUUCACUCAUCUUGAACAUCUGCUUGAUGAGUGCUAAGAGAUCUGCUGCAAAGGGUGUUCAGAGUGCUGCUUCCUUCUGUGCCAUAUGCAGAAAAAGAAAGAAGUAUUUCUUUUCUUUUUCUUUUCUUUUUUUUUUUUUUUUGUUAUCCUCCUGAUCUUUGGAGGUUUUAUAGAGAACCUGUACAUGCCUUUCUGGGGUAAGACCAGCAGUCCAGAUGCCAAAUCAGAGAAAAUCAGUGAAGGUGGCCCAGGAGACUGCACACGUUGCUAAUGCUGCCAGGCAUUUGAUACUUGAGAAUGGUGGGAGACAGUACUGCAGCAGAACAGAGUGACCAUCAAGAUCAGCAACACCUAUACUAAAAUUUCUGCACAGCAAGUCAAACAUACCAACAGUUACUAGUAGUAAAUAGGAGAAGGAUUUGAUUUAAGUAAUAAUUUUGAGGCCAAGUCAUACCAUGUUUUGUAUUCUCCUUUCUUUUCUCCCCUUUCAACUUCAGCAGUUCCUUUUAGUUAAAUAACUUGCAGCUUAUGAGCUGGGAAGUAGAGCUGAACUCAGAUUCAGCUGAGUUUCUCAGAUUUUAAAAAAUGUUGGUGUAUAUUUGAUAAAUUUUCUUCAUGAAUAAAACCAGGCUUAUUCCUUGGCAAAGAGGGUAGUGGAAAUUUUAAUGAGAUUUAAUGAUAAUUUAAUAGGAUGCAUGAUCCUCCUUCUCCAGGAAUCUGAACUUUUACUAUAGUGAUUGAAAUGAAAACUUGUAAGAGGUGAAACAGUUGUGAAAUGCAUUGCUUUUUCAGUGCGAUAACCAUAAUCUGCGUUAUGCUCAGUGCUUAUUGAUAUGCAUACUUUGUUUAUGUUUUUUUUUGUUUGUUUGUUUGCACCUGAUCUAGGACAUCAGCAAGCUUCUGGGUGAUGCAUUUUCAUGAUAUUCCCUGGAUACAAUUGUUUGUCUUUCUAAUCCCAUUUACCCGUUAGCUCAAUUCAGCUGUGCAGAUCAGUGAUUUUUUUCUGUGCAUUUUCCCAAAGAACAAACAUCCAGGAAGACCCAAAUUGUUUUGAAUUUGAAUUUACUGUUGCCCUUUGCAGAAUGAACUUGCACUUACAUUAGCCAAUGCUGUCCAUCUGCUGAACAUCUUAGUGGGGUAAGACCCAGAAUUCCACUUAAGUUACACCUUCAAUUUAGGUGCUUGUUUAACCAGUACUCCUAAAAUCUUAUACAGUCAGCUGAAGUGAAAGACAGUUAAAGGAAGGUAAAUGUCUUUGAUGCCUUCAGGGAAAAGUCUUGUCUGUAUAACUUGGGUGCCUAAACCUAAGUAGGUAGAUACGAUUUCUGGAGCACUGGAGGAUUCUGAAGGCCCCCUCUGUCAGUAAGAGAUAUUUAGUAUGAUUUGACUAAAUGUAUACUGUAUGCUAACUGCACACUGUAUUCCUGUGUAGUAAAUGGAGAAAGUUAAACUUUCUUCUAGCAUAAUUCUCCUGAAGGUAUGCUAAUGUUAACUGACCCAUGUUACAGAAGCAACCAGAUAUCUCUUUGCUUACUAUGGUAGAAGGAUUAGCUUGAAUUAGGUGUUUUAAACCCUGCUCACAGUAUGAGCCUAAUGAAUUUUUUUGUUUGGUUUCUCAUUUACCCCAAAAUACCUUUUAAGAUUAAAGCAAAAGGGAAAAGAAACAGAACUAACUUUGGAAAAUGUAAAGCCCUUUGUCCAUUCUCAGGCACAUUUAUCUUCUCACUUGUUCUUGUGCUUUUUAACUAUCUGAAAGAGGUUUAACAAUGAAAGAAAAUAGGGAAGAAAAUUCCUAUUUCUUUGUGCUCUUGUUUCAGUUAAAAAUAUUGAAAAAAUUUUAAAUUUCCAAGAAUGUUGUGCUUGAUUCUAGGUCUAGAAUCAGCAUGUGUAUCACUCUCUGUAGGUUGCUUACCUGACUUUGUGUGCAUAGCACCAUGCGUGGCUCAUGUGUCUUUCAUCACUUUAAGUAGAUCCUUACUUAGAUUAUUGUAUGGCUAAGCUGCUGCACUAAUUUUUGAACAUAUGCAUUUACAUGAAUGAGAUGAUUUAGUCACUUGAAAAAUGGAGAGCCCACUCUCAACUUCUAUUUUCCUGCCAUGCUCUUCAGGGAGUCAAAUCUGGACAUUCUUAGCUUAAUUCAUUAGCACUAGUGCCAUCCUUCCAUACAAUAACAUAAGGACUGCUUUUUCAGUUUAAAUGUUAUUUCACAGUGUGGCAUCUCUUACUGAGAUGGGCUGAGUAUAGAUAACCUGAGUUAACUCUGUAAUAAAUGCACCCUGAGGUACAAUAGACGGUUAUUAGCUUGAGGUUUCACGUGUAAGCAGAGGCUGCAUUGGUACCGCUGUGAGAGUUAACUUGAGAGUGUUUCCCUGAACAUAAGACAAGUAAUACUUUCUUCAGAAAGCCAAUAAUAAGGAGUUCAGGAAAUGAUUUCUGGGGCAAAAAAGUGGCAAGAAGAAACUUGGCUGUGCAGUGUAUCUUGGUCAUAGGAACAGGGCCUGAAACUGAGGGUGCCAAAAGUGUCUCCUUGAAUAGAUCUAGGUAUACCCAAGCUCUGGGAUUAGAUGUAUGAUUAAAACAGGGCAGUGAGUGAUCUUCAGCACUAUGUCUCUUGCUGUCCAUGCUGCUUUUUGUUAGCCUAUUUUUUUCUUAGGCUACCCCAACUAGGCUUCUAUGAGCAGCUAUGGUACCCCUCACACUCAAAACCAAGUUUUGUUCCUAUCUUUAUUUGUUAGCAUUAGAGAUGUAGCAUGGACUGCACUGGCCAUAUUCCUCACUUGGACAACCAAGAGACCAGGAAAGUUCAGAAUUACAGGAAUAUAGUUACAACUAGGAAGACCUAAUGAUGUCUGAAUUUGCUUCCUUUCUAGUUCACUUUCUCCCAUGACCUAGGACUCAGCACAGUGAGUUCUCAUUAUCAGAACAGGCUUCAGCAUGCUCUAUGACAUACGUUAACGCAGCUGAAUUGCAUGUUUAAGAAUCAAGAUCCACAAUUCACUUGCUUAUCUCAUUGACAAGCUGGAAAUAUAAAACAUCAUGACCAAAAAACCCAAGUAACUUUAUAAAUUCAGAUUUUGUUGUCCAUGGCAUGAUUGGAUAGUCAAAUAAGGUCAUGGAAACAAAAUGUCAUAAUAUCUAAUUUUUGGCAUUGAAGGAACAUGUCUAAUAUGGGAAAGUUUGUCCUUGUUUCUUAUAGAUAAUGCAGACAACAUAUACAGAACUCUUUAUGACUUAGAUAUGCUAGAUUGUAACUGGAAGUAACUGUCUCUCAUCGAUGAAUUUAUAUAGCUUAAAAAGAAAACACCACAAAUGGCCUCCUGGUUUAGUCUGUCUAUUGUAAGGGUCAAAAAAUUGUAGCCCUUCUCUGGCUUUGUCCUUUCAUUUCCUUGAAGACAGGCUGCAGUGCCACAGAGAGGAUGUGAGGGAGGCCAAAUAUCUCUCUUGCUUUCCAUGUUGCUCAGCUAACACUCAGUGGUGAGGAGUCACGGUUCAGGAUUCAUAAGCAGGCAGUUAUGGACCAGCAUUGCUCUGUAUCAAUGUUCAUUGAUUGAAGUUGUCUCUUCUUAAGUAGCAUUAAAUUAGUAUCCUUAAAUAGUCUAUCUAAUACAGUGAAAAGCUUAUUUAUCACACAUUCAGGGAGGAAAAGAGUAUAAUGAAGAAUUUUUCAGAGGAAGAGUAAUGGAGAAAUGAAAACCUGAAGUGGAAGGGCAGAAAGUCUCUAAGAAACGUGCCUGAUUCCCUCUCUCUGUAUAGCUCUCCUUGAGGAGAGCUGAACUGUUUGUAAGUGAAUCUUUCUCAGGUGGGCUGCACUGCUGGCUUUGUUAGGAAUAACAUCAUUAAUUGUUUCUCAAAACAUAGCUUCUGCAAUUUGAAAUUAAAAAAAAGCCCACCCAUUUAAUUCCACGAGGCUUUCUGUGUCAUGACCUUUGUGCAGUACUCAAGUUAUACAGCAGGGAAAAGGUGUCCCUUUCUUGCAAUACAGAUUCAUGAAUUUUUAAACUCACAGUAUGGGGCAGCUGCUGUCAAGUAACAAUGGGAAACUUAUAUUCUGUCCAGCACUGCAUAAGUCCCAAGAGAACAGACAGGAAACAGCAGGACCUGAUAUAAAAGCUGCAUAUCUCAUGCUACAAAAAAAGAACCAAGAGAAGCUUCUCUCUUCCUUGCUCUCCUUAUUACUUGUCUCCACUUUUAUUUCAUUAUCUUUAUGAAUCUAAAUAUUAUGCAAAAUGGGAGUGACAAAAAACCACUUAUAUUAAUUAACAAAAAUAAAUUAAUGUGAAAAUAUCAGCUGAUGUCAUUCAGUAUGGGAGUGAGAAAGAUUUCAAAUUCUGAACCAUAAAAGCUAGAAUAUCUUGUGUGUCAACAACACUGUUUUACCAGAAUUUCUAUUUCUACUUAUACUAGUCAUAAGUAGAUAAAAUCUCUCUAGUCACUGAAGUAGGGUUUGUCUGUAUCCAUACCAGUAUUUUUCCUUUUUCCCUUUUUUAA